rnacentral:rRNA from 1 species
AACGCGAAGGAACUUACCUACUCUUGACAUCCAGAGAACUUUCCAGAGAUGGUUUGGUGCCUUCGGGAACUCUGAGACAGGUGCUGCAUGGCUGUCGUCAGCUCGUGUUGUGAAAUGUGGGGUUAAGUCCCGCAACGAGCGCAACCCUUAUCCUUUGUUGCCAGCGGUCCGGCCGGGAACUCAAAGGAGACUGCCAGUGAUAAACUGGAGGAAGGUGGGGAUGACGUCAAGUCAUCAUGGCCCUUACGAGUAGGGCUACACACGUGCUACAAUGGCGCAUACAAAGAGAAGCGACCUCGCGAGAGCAAGCGGACCUCAUAAAGUGCGUCGUAGUCCGGAUUGGAGUCUGCAACUCGACUCCAUGAAGUCGGAAUCGCUAGUAAUCGUAGAUCAGAAU